GACAAGGCGAGGGGUGAAAAGGCUCCGCCAGCGGAAUUGCAGCGCGAUGGUACCCGGUGGCUGGGGGUGGGGGGAAGAAAGAAAAAACCAAACCAGCUGAUGCAAAAAGGAGCCCGCAAGCUGUAAAGUUAAAGGAAAGUCGGCUUCCGUUGUCAUUUGCUGCUCCGAGUGCAGACGAGAUGCCUCAGUGAAAAACGUUGUAUUUCAUAUUUCUGUCAUGCAUACAAUGGAAAGCACCCUACGUCCAACAUAGGAAGCAUUCUAUUCAACACAGCUUUUUGGAGGUUUCGAUACAAAUUUUUGUACCAAAAAUUGGCCUCACUAUGGAGCAAAUUCAGAGCUCCCUGUCGCUGCUGGGGUUCUAUAUACCACACCAGGCCCCCUGAUCUGCUCGAGGAGCUGUUGGAAGUGAGCUGAACUGAAUCCAUCCUGCAUGCAGCUAUCUUGUGCCACCCCGUGUAAGAGCUGGGAAAUUACACAACUUUCUGACCACUGUGACCCGAGUUCGGCAUUGGAGUCCUGCAGAUGAGUUUCGUGCACUUUGAAGACACUUUUCAGUUUAUCAGCAACUGAGGCACAUUUAAAAAGUAUUGAAAUUUUUUAAUAUGAAAACUAAUUUUUUCUUAAAACGUGAUUUCUUUGUACUUAAGCUAGUUCUUCCUUUACAUUUGUAACUUUUACAUGAUAAUGUGCAUGAUACUAGUUCUUUAGGAAUGUGUUUUCAAUAUUCUAAUUAAUAUACCUUCAUAAUUGUGCUCUUUCCCGUUAUUUGCACUUUCUUUAUUUGCUGGUUGGUGGUGCUUGCUUUUUCUUUAGUGGUAUUUUUCUUUCUCAUGUUUUCCUCCAUGCAUUUUUUGCACCCUUACAUCCCUUUUUAAUUCCUUCCACACUUCUGCAUAUCAGUCACAUUAAUUCCAAGUUCAUUUAGUACCCUACAAUAAAAGAAACGUUGCUGCUAUUGUUGUGUCUGUUGGGCAACAGAUCAGCUGUGAUCAAGUCGGUAGCUGUCUAUAUAUUAUGUGUUAGUGGAAAGUUCUAAACCUUAGCCAGAGCUUUCAUUCUAGUUCUAAACUUAGUACUAUUACAAUCUGGAACGUGAAAGAGAUAAAAGAAAAAAGAUUUAUCUACCUUUCUGUGAUUUUACUGUGAUGAAGGUCUGUGUUUAGGAUACCGUGUUUAUACAGGUGAAAUUGUUAGCUGCAAAUGGUGUGGUGAUUCCGAGGUUUCCCUCGGUACUUCGGCUGCCGCGGUGUUAGUGCUGAUAUUGCCUGCACUCUUUUCCCUCAUGCAGGAGGUUCCGCUCGUGCUUUUGACACUCCUCUCACACCUUGGGCUCCCGAAGCAUCAGGCACGGCACUCCAGCCCUGCACAAACAACUCCGCGAGUGGAUUUGACAUUUUCCAUCCCGUGUCCCUGGGCGACCCAGGACUCGAGCUCUCGGGUCAGUCCGGCGACAAGCGGCACGGGCGGUGGGGGCGGGCGGUAUCGAGCCCAGGGACAACAGCUAAUGAGCGUUAAUCACGGCCAGCCGAGGGCUGCCCGG